rnacentral:rRNA from 1 species
GGGGGGGUCUAUCUGCAGUCGACGAGUCUCCAUUUGAUUUUAUGCUUGCAUAAAUGAUUUUUGGAUUCGGGACGAGUGGCGAACUGGUGAGUAACACGUGGGUAACCUGCCCUGAAGUAGGGGAUAACAUUUGGAAACAGAUGCUAAUACCGUAUAAUUAGUUGGAACCACAUGGUUCCAACUUGAAAGAUGGCUCUGCUAUCACUUUAGGAUGGACCCGCGGCGUAUUAGCUAGUUGGUGAGAUAAAAGCUCACCAAGGCGAUGAUACGUAGCCGACCUGAGAGGGUAAUCGGCCACAUUGGGACUGAGACACGGCCCAGACUCCUACGGGAGGCAGCAGUAGGGAAUCUUCCACAAUGGACGAAAGUCUGAUGGAGCAACGCCGCGUGAGUGAAGAAGGGUUUCGGCUCGUAAAACUCUGUUGUUAAAGAAGAACAAGUGUAAGAGUAACUGUUUACGCUUUGACGGUAUUUAACCAGAAAGCCACGGCUAACUACGUGCCAGCAGCCGCGGUAAUACGUAGGUGGCAAGCGUUGUCCGGAUUUAUUGGGCGUAAAGCGAGCGCAGGUGGUUCUUUAAGUCUGUUGUGAAAGCCCUCAGCUCAACUGAGGAAAGUGCAGCGGAAGACUAAAGGACUUGAGUACAGAAGAGGAUAGUGGGAACUCCAUGUGUAGCGGUGAAAUGCGUAGAUAUAUGGAAGAACACCAGUGGCGAAGGCGGCUAUCUGGUCUGUUACUGACACUGAGGCUCGAAAGCAUGGGUUAGCGAACAGGAUUAGAUACCCUGGUAGUCCAUGCCGUAAACGAUGAAUACUAGGUGUUGGAGGGUUUCCGCCCUUCAGUGCCGCAGCUAACGCAUUAAGUAUUCCGCCUGGGGAGUACGACCGCAAGGUUGAAACUCAAAGGAAUUGACGGGGGCCCGCACAAGUGGUGGAGCAUGUGGUUUAAUUCGAUGCUACGCGAAGAACCUUACCAGGUCUUGACAUCUUCUGCCAACCUAAGAGAUUAGGCGUUCCCUUCGGGGACAGAAUGACAGGUGGUGCAUGGUUGUCGUCAGCUCGUGUCGUGAGAUGUUGGGUUAAGUCCCGCAACGAGCGCAACCCUUAUUAUUAGUUGCCAGCAUUAAGUUGGGCACUCUAGUGAGACUGCCGGUGAUAAACCGGAGGAAGGUGGGGAUGACGUCAAAUCAUCAUGCCCCUUAUGACCUGGGCUACACACGUGCUACAAUGGAUGGUACAACGAGUCGCGAAACCGCGAGGUCAAGCUAAUCUCUUAAAGCCAUUCUCAGUUCGGAUUGCAGGCUGCAACUCGCCUGCAUGAAGUUGGAAUCACUAGUAAUCGUGGAUCAGCAUGCCACGGUGAAUACGUUCCCGGGCCUUGUACACACCGCCCGUCACACCAUGAGAGUUUGUAACACCCAAAGACGAUGGAGUACUCGAGCUAGUGUCAUGAG